rnacentral:rRNA from 1 species
GACGAACGCUGGCGGCGUGCCUAAUACAUGCAAGUAGGACGCAGUUGCGAACGGGUGAGUAACGCGUCGGUAACUGCCUAUUAGAGGGUGAUAACUAUUGGAAACGAUAGCUAAUACCGCAUACUAGUAGAUGGACCUGCGUUGUAUUAGCUAGUAGGUAGGGUAAUGGCCUACCUAGGCAACGAUACAUAGCCGAGCUGAGAGGGUGAGCGGCCACACUGGGAAUGGGACACGGCCCAGAAUCCUACGGGAGGGAGCAGUAGGGAAGCUUCGGCAAUGGGGGGAACCCUGAACGAGCAACGCCGCGUGAGUGAAGAAGGUUUUCGGAGCGUAAAGCUCUGUUGUUAAGGAAGCGGUACUUAACCAGAAAGGGACGGCUAACUACGUGCCAGCCGCCGCGGUAAUUC